GUAUGCUACACCUUGACGGCAAUAUCUGACCGGUAGGAAUCGGGCCAAAGGAAUCUGUUAAUUCCCAAUAUCUGACCAGUAGGAAUCCCCUAAGUCCUAAUAUCUGACCGGUAGGAAUCCGCUCAUCCAUAGGGGGGGUGCGGAUAAUAAAUGGAAUGACCCUAGACACAAAUAUGAGUCUUGUCCAUAUAAAAUUGACCAUUUCCAAAACAAUAAAGUUCAUGACCAAUUUCUCAUGUGUUAACUUAUGGUAUAAUUCACCGAUCUCUAUCA